CAGUAACAAAAAAAAUUAAAGAAAGAUUGAAAAGAAAGAAGGAAAGAAAGAUAGAAAGAAAACAGAGGAAGAAAGCUAAAACUAUCAUAAAUAAAUUAUCAGUUUCUUUUUGGCUCAAUUAAGAUAUAGCUACGAAAGAAACCAAGUGUAUCAACACACACACAAAUGCAUAUGUGGGGCUAUCAUGUAUUCAGACGAUAUCACUCGAAACCCGAUCUCUUUGAACUAAAACAGAAGUGAAAAUUUCUCCUUUUACUGCUUACAAAUGACAGUUACCCCAAUUUUUUGGAAAUAUGGACAUUAUAAGAGCUUUUCAUUAGUGUGAAAUGUGAAUUUUGACCGUUCUGUGAGAGAUUUCUGCCAGAGGUUUGCCAAGCUUCGCCAAGCUUCGUUCGUGCAGCCAGUAGAAAAUUCACCAUGUGGGCUGUGUGGCUGGCUAGCCAUAUGUACACUGUAUGUUACCCUAGUAAAAAUUGCAUGCGAUUCAUUCUGUGUGUAUUCUGUGUGUGAAUGACCAAAUUUAACGGGAGGAAAAUGGUUCGCAAUUUGAGUCAUGGAAUAUUUUUUAUGUUUAUGUUGGACUAGUGAAUUUGACCAUUUCUGGAAAAGUUACUGGCCCAACAAUGGUUUUUAUUACUGUUUAUGUCGGACCCAUAAAUCUUGCUAUUUUUGGAAAAAUUACCGGCCCGACAAUGAUAUUUUCUUACUGGUCUUGUCGGACCAGUAAAUCUUGCUAUUUCUGAAAAUCUACCGGCCCGACAGUGAUUUUUACCGGUCUGGGACCGUCGGACCGGCGCUAGUGUCGAGCCCUGCUUCAGAAUGGAACUUUCAGCAUCUCAAAUUUCAGUGAGUUUGGAGUAAGGGGCGUGGCUGGUAUCAUCCCUUCCCCACAGGCCUGCCAUCUGGGAGUAGGAGCGGUCCAAGACAGAUUUGUACCUGAUGAAGAUGCUGAAGAAGGAUACCGUCCAGCUUCCAUUCUGACAGUAACCCUUGUAUGUGAUCACAGAGUGGUGGACGGUGCAGUGGGCGCUCAAUGGCUACAGCAAUUCAAGAGAUAUAUGGAGCAGCCAGAAUCCAUGCUUCUCUAGUUUAUAAUCAAUCACAACAUUGAAUGAGAAAUAGAAGGGCGUUUCAGAAGGAACUUUUUCUACCUUCAUCAAGGAGGCUUAUACCUCAUUCCCACUGUCGCGCGAUCCGUUAAGAACGCCACAGUUGGUUUUUUGUAGCUGUUCGCCAAAAAGUUUAAACCGUUCAAAAGUUUUCUGCUGUCAAUUGCCACAACUGAAUUGAUGUGAUCUUGAUAUGGUCAUUGUGGUUAUCCACGAUUAAGACCACGGUUUAAAUUGUGACGCAAAGCGUGACAGUGAGAACUAGGUAUUUGGUACCUUGUCAAAGAGCCUUUCACGUGGGAAUUCCGCAAGCGGCCUUUCUCAUAGUUCAUCAUAGCCAUAACAAUGAAGAAAACAGGAAAGCUGUUAUGAAAAGAAACAUGGUGCAUUUGUAGCGGGUCUUCCUGGUAAGAGACGUGACACAGAUUUUUGACAAGGUACCUUAAACUCCUAGAUUUGGAGAAGGUCAGAUAAUUCCUCAGAUUCCAAAGCAAUAAAUGGAGGUGCAUGCUGGGAUAGCUAGAGCUUGGUCAGUCUUCACGGUUUAAAGAUACAUCUUAGUCCUGGGUCCCGUAACACAAAGGUUAGCGAUAAAUAACCCGUUUGAUUUCACGAUUGAUUGUACAUUUUAGUCAAUGGAAUCAAUCAUAGAAAUUGUUCUACGAUCAUUGCUAAGCUUUGUUUUACAGGCCACUAGUUGUGAAUUUUGAAAAAUGGUGGAAACCCUUUCAAAGUGUUUAUGAAAUAACUGGGUCUGGUUUCAUAAAGAAUUGUUGUAAUAACAAAUGCACAAUUCUAUAACAAGUUCUCUUAUCACCCAGUCAGUUCGAAAAAGCAUUUCAUUAGUUUAAAACUGUUAUUGCAGAUUUGUUAUUAUGAUACUGAUUGAAUUCAGUCUGUGGUGUGUGCUAGAAAGCAUUGGAAUCAACCAAAUAAUAACGAGUAAAACCCAAUUAUUCUGAGAAUCACAUGUCUUGCACAAGGCACAGAUGAGCAUGUAUCGGACCACAACAAAAUAGCCGGCUGUUGCAGCUCCUAUUUGUUAAAUAUUUUAGGGCGUUUGAAUAGCAAUCUUUUGCAAAGGACCUUCAUUUCAUGAUAUCAUUUCUGAAAUAUCAUGAAAUGAAUUUGAAAACUCACAAUAAAUGAUUAUUCUUGUGUUUCUUCCACCUUCUCUACAAUUUUUUUUACUUUUAGAUUAAAGGGGCAUCAGUUUUCAUGGGGAAUUCAUUACUAUUUGCUGACUGCAGACUUUGCAAAAAGCAUAUGAAACACCUCUGACAGAGGCAUUUUUCGGGGAAAGCAAGAAAUUCUUCAACCAAGCCUGAUUUAAUUUUUUUUUCACAACCGUUGGGCAACCGUCAGGCCAGGUAAAGUGCGAUAAUGGCUUUAACGUAAAGGCAUUUUACAGUGGCGUUACAUAACAUCUUACAUAACAUCUGCUCAUUUAUAAAUCUCUAUCAUCCAUGGUUUGGACCAUGUGUGAUUUAUAUCCGAAUGGUGUCAAAUUACCCAUGAAAACAGAUGUCAAUCCCCCUUUAAUACGCCUUACUUGCCAACUGAGACCACACAAAACAGAUUGGUUCGAAUUCACUAAUUCUUAAAUCUUCCACCUAGGAUUUAUAAUACUACGCACUCACUAAAUAUGAUCAAAUUGUGUAUUUUUUUAGGACUGCAGUGACUGCACAUGGGUAAUUUGCACUUAUUUGUCCUUAUUACACAUAAUGUUACAUUGGGCUUUGAGUAAUUUGGAAAGUCCAUCAUUAUUACCCAACUUGUGCUUAAAAUAAUAGGACAGGGUUUUGUUCCCCGUUUUAGUCCUAGCGUAAUCCCUUUCUUUUUAAAUUCAGGUCAUUCAGUCUAUAAAACUCAGUUUUAUCUGACAUAUUAUAUAAGUAGAGAGCUUCCAGACCAUUUGAAAAGAGAGACUUGUGAACCCUUUAAUGUGUUAAUUUCCCCCAUUUGAUUCUUUGACUUUGCAAUGGAAAUCUUUUUGAGCAGGCGUGAUAUUCUCCCGUUUAAAAUCGGACUCCAAUUUUUUUUCCAGAUUUUUUAUCCCCUUUUUUUUUCAUUUUUUCUUUUAAACAUGAAAUCCUGUGCCUAAAAAUUAUCAUACUGUUUUUUUUUUUUACUGCUGAUAAAAUGAUAAAACUAUCAUGCAGACUCACCUUGAAAAGUCACUUUCAAUUUCUUUACUAUGCAAGAGCUUGUAACCCCGACCGCGGUGCCUCGGACUUCAGCGGUGACUUAGCGACCCUUGGCUAUUUUUCAGAUUUUUUUUCAUAGGGGAAUAUAUUAUGCCUGUAUAAUUUUAUCAUUAUUUGUGAUAUGAAUCCUAAUCAAAUGAUUGGCUGAAAUCUAUCUCAUACAGUCAUUUAUAUUUUUGCUAUUGACUGGUACCAAUGACUAGUGCUAUUGGCUGGUCUUGGUUUUGAGACAAGGCAUGAAUGUCAGCACAGAGGAUUAUCCUUUUUUUUGGGGGGGGGGGGCACUUAUUGUUGCAUCUCCCCCGAAAACUAAAUCUCUGCACUGACGUCUAUGAGAUAAUGAUGGUUUAUCAUAUAACAAGGAUCCAAAUCACUCUCUUAUAAAACAAAUAAUACACAGUAUUUUUGCUUGGGCAUCAGAAUAAUUACACAUGUUUGUUACCUUUGAAACAAACUGUCCAAACGCCGAGCCAUAGGUGUGAUUGCACUUUUCCAAAUGAACCUCGUGUGUGCAUAAUUCUUACUAUUGCCCUCAUUGGUGUGUAUUAUUGUUUGAAGGAAAUUUACAGGAAAAAGAUCCAUCAGAUUUAACAUUGGUGCCAUAUGUAAACAAUUUGUCAAUUGCAAAGUGUGUCUAUCCAAUCAAAUGGCUUGAUUUCUGUAGCUAACAACAGGAGGCUCCUUGGAUUGCUGACAAGUUUUAUGGAAUGUACUUGCCCCAUUAUUGCAGUAUCGAGCUGGGGGCUCUUUCAUAGAGCUGUUCGUAAGUUAAGAGUGACUUGAAGAACGUCUGGUGAUCCCUUCCUGUGGUAAAUGAUAUUCACCAUUAAUUGUUCAUUGGAGAUGGUUUAGCGGAUAAGAAAGGUUCACCAGUCCUUGUUAUAGUCGCUUCCAACUUAAGAACAGCUUUAUGAAACACUCACCUGGUGGGUGUUUGAUAAAGCUGUUCGUAAAGUAAAACCGACUAAGAACGACUGGUGAUCCUUUCUUGUGGUAAAUGGUAUAUUCAUUGGCGAUGGGUUAGCGCGUAAGAAAUGUUCAUCAGUCGUUAUUAUAGUCACUUUUAACUUAGAACAGCUUUAUGAAACACUCACCUGGUAUAUUCUCAGCACUGAAAAUGAUAACACUAUUCAAAAUGCCAUCUAGUACCCUUCUAUUUCUCAGUCAUUGUACUUUUUUCAAACCCAAGUAGCAUUCUGCCUUUUUAUUAAAACAAAGGGAAACAUACAUUUGUGUGUAUACCUACACUAGUGCAUGUGGUCUAGUGUGCUAAGAAUAAAUGAUGAAUGUAUUUACCUGCAUGUACCAACAAUUUUUUUGUGUGUGAAAAAAAAAUCAUUAUUUUGCAGUUCGAGGUUAUCGUGUGACCCAUACAUAUAUUUCCCUGAGGUAAUAUUUAUUUUGCCUUUACAGGUGGGAGAAUGUCUGAUUAAAAUCUCUUUGGAUUAAAGAUAUAUAAAUUCAACUUCGAUGAUAUUCGUCUACGAAAGAGCGAAUAACACAUGCAACUGGUCUGAGUAAUCGUUUGAACUUUGGAUGAUUAUUUGAUCCUUGGAAGGUCAAUUUAUGCAGACUUAAUUGGGUUUAGAAGGUUGAUUUACUUUAUAUUGAUAUGCAUGCACAGAAUUGCUUUAUAUUGCCUGUAUUCUUCAUUUCAUUUAUUGUAUUCAUUCUGUAUUUCAUUUAUUGGGCUUCAUAUGAAGUGAUGAUUAUGGAGAAACUUAUGCAAUAUUGAGUACAUAUUGAUUUGUGUUUGUGCAGGUAUCAUGGACAUAUCAUAUCCAAAAUGAGAAUAUUAUGAGCAAUGAAAUUCACCUUUGUGAAUAACAGGGGUUGUCACUGUGGGUCCAUGGGCCCAAUCUUGUGCACUUCAACCAUUUACAAGAACACCUUCAAAAAUUAUUCUGAAAUUUACAAAAAUGAAGAUAAGGUUACUUUCAGAAUACCUCCCCAGAAUUAUUACUAAAACUAAAUUUCAUAUGUACGAAAGCUGUGCAAAGGUGGUAGAGUUAUCUCCCCACACCACUGCAGAUUGAUAUUUGCCGCCAUCUAUUGCUCAAAAACUCACCAUGCAUCUGUCAGGAAUUUUCCAAAGCUCUUUAUGGUCAUGUUCUUAAAAGUUUGCUCCCGAUAAAAGUUCAUGAAGUUUAUUGCCAAUUUUAUUUUUCAGCGAAUCAAGAAUUGCAUGGGCUUUCUAACAAUUUUUUUCAUUGAUUUUGACAUUUUUUAAAGACCAUGCAAUAACUACAGGGAAAGAUUUCUAGAAUAAUUUUUUAGAAUAAUAAAAUCUGGUACAAUUAUAUAAUUCAUUACUCAAGCAGAUUUACUCUUAGCAAUAUUGGUAUUUAUCUGUAUAUUUGUUUUUAUGAUGAAGAAAAAUAAUAACAGGGUGGAUAGUAGUACUGGAUAGUCAUGAGGAUACAUUUGUUGAUUUACUUUUGUAAAGGUUUUGGUGCUUUUUAAUCAUUCUUGGUACAUUAGAUAGCACCACCAUCCCAUGAAAAAGGUAGAAUGCUUCUUGGGUUUUUUUUAGAGAUAUAUUAUAUCAUAGUUAUCCCUUGGUACUUAUUGUGCAGGGGAAGUGCAUAUAUAUGCAUUACCUAUUUGUCGAGAGAAGUAACAUUCUCCUUGCUCUGAUGAAAAUUUGACAUCAAAUCUUAUUUCAUUAUAUCUUUCUGUGAAGUCUUACGAAACUUUGAAAGUUGUGAACGGGAUCUUGUGACUGGAAGAGGCCUGGUGUAGUGGUUCUGGCUCUCACCUUGCAAUCAGAGGGUCAUGGGUUUGAAUCCCACCCUGGCCAAGCAUCCUUUUGCAAGGCACUUUGCCUCUCUCCACCCAGGUGUUAAAUGGGUACCUGGUAGGAUUUGAAAGUCGGAGCUUGUCCAGUUUGUGCUGCUCAACGGCGACUAGCUGGGAUACUCCCAAGGGAAUGACUUAUUGAAUCUGAUGACUUGGGUGAUUAUAAUUCUAUAAGCGAUUAGAUACAUACAAUGUAUGUCUAUUUGCAUUAUAAUAACCCGAUUAUUGUUAUUAGAGAUUGAGGGUAAUCACAAUUGAAUGGAGAUAGAUAGGGAGUUUUUGAAAUUGAAUUCAGAGUUUUUAUUAAUUAUUAUAUGUAUACAUGUGUGUUUUGAGUAUUAUGAAUUAUGAAUAGUCUUGAAGACUUGGUUGGGAUUCCACUUCCACAUAUCGCAUGAGGAUGCUUUUAAUGCUCUGGUAAAAGAGUAGAAAGUAAAUCAUGAUGAUCAUGAAAAUUGAGGUUAAUGGAAGUCAACGAAAUAAAUCUUUACCAACUGA